AGUCAACAUGCCCAGGGGACGUGGAUAACCUCGGGAAACUGAGGAUAAACCGCGAUAGGUCAUCACUUCUGGAAUGGGUAAUGACUUAAAUCUAUAUGGCCCCUGGAUUGGACUGCGGCCGAUCAGGCUGUUGGUGAGGUAAUGGCCACCAAACCUGUAACCGGUACGGGCUCUGAGAGGAGGAGCCCGGAGAUGGGCACUGAGACAAGGGCCCAGGCCCUAUGGGGCGCAGCAGGCGCGAAACCUCUGCAAUAGGCGAAAGCUUGACAGGGUUACUCUGAGUGAUUUCCGUUAAGGAGAUCUUUUGGCACCUCUAAAAAUGGUGCAGAAUAAGGGGUGGGCAAGUCUGGUGUCAGCCGCCGCGGUAAUACCAGCACCCCGAGUGGUCGGGACGUUUAUUGGGCCUAAAGCAUCCGUAGCCGGUUCUACAAGUCUUCCGUUAAAUCCACCUGCUUAACAGAUGGGCUGCGGAAGAUACUAUAGAGCUAGGAGGCGGGAGAGGCAAGCGGUACUCGAUGGGUAGGGGUAAAAUCCGUUGAUCCAUUGAAGACCACCAGUGGCGAAGGCGGCUUGCCAGAACGCGCUCGACGGUGAGGGAUGAAAGCUGGGGGAGCAAACCGGAUUAGAUACCCGGGUAGUCCCAGCUGUAAACGAUGCAGACUCGGUGAUGAGUUGGCUUAUUGCUAACUCAGUGCCGCAGGGAAGCCGUUAAGUUUGCCGCCUGGGGAGUACGGUCGCAAGACUGAAACUUAA
rnacentral:rRNA from 1 species